rnacentral:rRNA from 1 species
AACGAACGCUGGCGGCAGGCCUAACACAUGCAAGUCGAGCGAGGACUUCGGUCCUAGCGGCGGACGGGUGAGUAACGCGUGGGAACGUGCCCUUUGCUUCGGAAUAGCCCUGGGAAACUGGGAGUAAUACCGGAUGAGCCCUUUGGGGGAAAGAUUUAUCGGCGAAGGAUCGGCCCGCGUUGGAUUAGGUAGUUGGUGGGGUAAUGGCCUACCAAGGCGACGAUCCAUAGCUGGUUUGAGAGGAUGAUCAGCCACACUGGGACUGAGACACGGCCCAGACUCCUACGGGAGGCAGCAGUGGGGAAUAUUAGACAAUGGGGGAAACCCUGAUCUAGCCAUGCCGCGUGAGCGAUGAAGGCCUUAGGGUUGUAAAGCUCUUUCAGCUGGGAAGAUAAUGACGGUACCAGCAGAAGAAGCCCCGGCUAACUCCGUG